AGGACUCUUCCUCGGGCAUCCCAAGAGCCACCUGGCCUCUGGCCUCACACCUGGGAUGUUUCAUCUUGAAGUAUCUGGUUGACCUGCCUUUCCACUCUCUGCCUCCUACUCCUAAUUGGAAUCCGGGGAGUUGUGAAUGUGUGUUUGGGUAGAAGCAAGAAUUGUUCCACCACCUGGAGGUUCAGCAGGCACACCGCUGUGGUGUUUACGUUUGUGUGAAGGUUUCUUAGCAGGAAGACAUGGGUUCUCCUUCCCGCCCACGAAUAUUCCAAGGUGUGGAGAUGGUCACACUACAGAGAUAUGUAAUAGAAAAGAAGAUGAAAAUGGCUUCAAGUCCCUUCCUGCCUACCUGGAGGAAGUAGAAGAGUGAACCUACAAACAAAAAUAGUUGUUUCCCUAAGUUCAUAAAAA